rnacentral:rRNA from 1 species
UACGGAGGAUCCAAGCGUUAUCCGGAUUUAUUGGGUUUAAAGGGUGCGUAGGCGGCCUGUUAAGUCAGGGGUGAAAGACGGUAGCUCAACUAUCGCAGUGCCUUUGAUACUGACGGGCUUGAAUGAACUAGAGGUAGGCGGAAUGUGACAAGUAGCGGUGAAAUGCAUAGAUAUGUCACAGAACACCGAUUGCGAAGGCAGCUUACUAUGGUUUUUAUUUGACGCUGAGGCACGAAAGCGUGGGGAUCAAACAGG